AAUUAAAUAGUGAUUAACUCAUAUAUACCUUGAAUAUGGCAAGGAGUCUCUACCGGAAACCGAUAAAUUUCUGACUAUGAGUAAAAGAA
rnacentral:ncRNA from 1 species